UACGUAGGGUGCAAGCGUUGUCCGGAAUUAUUGGGCGUAAAGAGCUCGUAGGCGGUCUGUCGCGUCUGGUGUGAAAAUCCAGGGCUUAACCCUGGACCUGCAUCGGGUACGGGCAGACUAGAGUGCGGUAGGGGAGAUCGGAAUUCCUGGUGUAGCGGUGAAAUGCGCAGAUAUCAGGAGGAACACCGGUGGCGAAGGCGGAUCUCUGGGCCGUAACUGACGCUGAGGUGCGAAAGCGUGGGGAGCAAACAGG
rnacentral:rRNA from 1 species